rnacentral:rRNA from 1 species
GUUAGGAAGUAUCUAAGUAGCUGUCAUCUGAUCUCAGAAGCUAAGCAAGGCUGGGCCUGGUUAGUACUUGCAUGUUAGAAGUUAGUACUUCCUAAUA